rnacentral:rRNA from 1 species
GUGCGUAAUAGCUCACUAGUCGAGAGGUCCUGCGCCGAAAAUGUCCGGGGCUAAAACACAACACCGAAGCUUAGGAAUUCUUUUGAAUUGGUAGAGGAGCAUUGAAGACGGAACGAAGCCAUACCGAAAGGAAUGGUGGACUGUCUUGAAGAGAGAAUGCCGGAAUGAGUAGCGAGAUUGAAGUGAGAAUCUUCAAGGCCGAAUAUCUAAGGUUUCCAGGGUAAAGCUGAUCUGCCCUGGGUAAGUCGGGGCCUAAGGCAAGGUCGAAAGACGUAGUCGAUGGAUAACAGGUUGAAAUUCCUGUACUGCAUCAAAUCAGAAAUGUGGGGACACAUGAGGGAAGCAUGAGCCGGAAAAGGAAAGUCCGGUACAAGCGCAGCAGAGGACAGAUAGGAAAAACCGUCUGUCAACUCGAGGGCGUGAUGUGGAGCGAACCAAAGUAGCGAAGCAUGUGGAGCUUGUGUCGAGAAAAGCCGCUAUAGUGUUUGAUGUACCCGUACCGUAAACCGACACAGGUGGAUGAGGAGAGAAUCCUAAGGCCGGCGGGAGAAGCAUUGUUAAGGAACUCGGCAAAAUGACCCCGUAACUUCGGGAGAAGGGGUGCUCCAGAGAUGGAGCCGCAGAGAACUGGCCCAAGCAACUGUUUAGCAAAAACACAGGUCUAUGCAAAACCGAAAGGUGAGGUAUAUGGGCUGACGCCUGCCCGGUGCUGGAAGGUUAAGAGGAGAGGUUAGCGCAAGCGAAGCUUUGAAUUUAAGCCCCAGUAAACGGCGGCCGUAACUAUAACGGUCCUAAGGUAGCGAAAUUCCUUGUCGGGUAAGUUCCGACCCGCACGAAAGGCGUAAUGAUUUGGGCACUGUCUCGACAAUGCACCCGGUGAAAUUGAAAUACCAGUGAAGAUGCUGGUUACCUGCGCCAGGACGGAAAGACCCCAUGGAGCUUUACUCUAGCUUGAUACUGGGGUUCGGUAUUGCAUGUACAGGAUAGGUGGGAGACUGAGAAGAUGUGUCGCCAGAUGCAUCAGAGUCGAUGUUGGGAUACCACCCCUGCAGUACUGGGCUUCUAACCUGCAGCCGUGACCCGGCUGGGGGACAAUGUCUGGUGGGGAGUUUGACUGGGGCGGUCGCCUCCGAAAGAGUAUCGGAGGCGCUCAAAGGUUCCCUCAGAAUGGUUGGAAACCAUUCGAAGAGUGCAAAGGCAGAAGGGAGCUUGACUGCGACACCGACGG